GCGGCUCGGGGCUGGUCCUUCAGUCAGCUCGGGGCUGAGGCUGCUGGGUUUGUCCUCAUCGGCGAGAAGAGCACAGAACUGUGCAGGCGAAUACAGGAUAAUUUUCAGUGAGCUGGGAUGGAGAGACAUGGGACCUACCUGGAGCAUUUGGUUUUGGAUUUCUAGAGGGAGCCUCUUUAUGUCAGAGAGAAGAAUGGGAAGAGACAUUUCCCAAGAAUUUAAAGGAGCUACGCUACAA